rnacentral:rRNA from 1 species
UGGGGAAUAUUGCGCAAUGGGCGAAAGCCUGACGCAGCGACGCCGCGUGAGGGACGACGGCCUUCGGGUUGUAAACCUCUUUCAGCAGGGACGAAGCGCAAGUGACGGUACCUGCAGAAGAAGCACCGGCUAACUACGUGCCAGCAGCCGCGGUAAUACGUAGGGUGCAAGCGUUGUCCGGAUUUAUUGGGCGUAAAGAGCUCGUAGGUGGCCUGCCGCGUCGGAUGUGAAAACCCGGGGCUCAACCCCGGGCCUGCAUUCGAUACGGGCAGGCUAGAGGAUGGCAGGGGAAACUGGAAUUCCUGGUGUAGCGGUGAAAUGCGCAGAUAUCAGGAGGAACACCGGUGGCGAAGGCGGGUUUCUGGGCCAUUCCUGACACUGAGGAGCGAAAGCGUGGGGAGCAAACAGG